GAUAUGCUCCUAGGUUCUCUACCAGGGUAUUUUUUAUUACUGUUUUAUUACUCACCUUGGCAAGUAUGAAUAGAUAUUACGGUGUUUAUGAUUAAAUUCAUUUAAAUCCAUUAACAUAACUCCACUUUGUUGUAGAUGUAUUCGUGUCAAUAAAUUUCAGAGAGUUGAUCCUGAUGUCCUGAAAGCCUGUGAAAACAGCUGCAUCUUGUAUAGUGACCUGGGCUUGCCAAAGGAGCUCACUCUCUGGGUGGACCCAUGUGAGGUGUGCUGUCGGUACGGAGAGAAAAACAAUGCAUUCAUUGUUGCCAGCUUUGAAAAUGAAGAUGAGAACAAGGAUGAGAUCUCCAGGAAAGUUACCAGGGCCCUUGAUAAGGUUA
rnacentral:sRNA from 1 species